UUCAGAGAUUUGGGCAAUUCUAAUAUCUAUGGGACUUUAGGUUCAGAGCUUGGCGAGCUCAAGCAUCUACAGUACUUGGAGCUUUAUAGGAAUGAGAUAGGAGGUAAAAUCCCAAAAGCAUUGGGUAAGUUGAAGAAUCUUGUCAGCAUGGAUUUGUAUGAAAACAGAUUUGAAGGAGAAAUCCCAAAAUCUUUAUCCAAGUUAAAGUCACUCAGAUUUCUACGGUUAAGCAACAACAAGCUGACAGGGUCAAUCCCAAGGGAACUCACCAACCUCUCUAACCUCAAAGUUUUGUAAGUUUGAUUCUGGAAAAAGAAAAA